rnacentral:rRNA from 1 species
UAAAAUCUUAGUGGCGGACGGGUGAGUAACGCGUGGGUAACCUGCCUUACACUGGGGGAUAACACUUAGAAAUAGGUGCUAAUACCGCAUAAGCGCACGAAGCCGCAUGGAUUUGUGUGAAAAACUCCGGUGGUGUAAGAUGGACCCGCGUCUGAUUAGCUUGUUGGCGGGGUAACGGCCCACCAAGGCGACGAUCAGUAGCCGGCCUGAGAGGGUGGACGGCCACAUUGGGGCUGAGACACGGCCCAAACUCCUACGGAAGGCAGCAG